UGGGAGAGGAAGAAGCAGGCUCCCAGCGGAGGAGCCCGAUGUGGGACUCGAUCCCGGAAAGCCGGGAUCACGCCCUGAGCCGAAGGCAGACGCUUAACGACUGCGCUACCCAGGCGCCCCUGGGGUACGUGGUUUCUGAGGCUCCUUGAGUACCUCUAUGAGCUAUAACCUAGAUGUUGAAGAACAUGUUUUUUCUCAGCCUGGAAACUGUAGGGGUCUUAAUAAAAAGAAUUUCAAUAGAAAAUUGACUUGGCGUUUCCUGAUACCAUGCAGUAAAACAGAAUGAGUAUAUGUAUUCGAUUAUUAAUGUGAAGUACCAUUCAGCCACUUGUCACUCGCACAGUUAAGAAAUUGAGGCAUUCCUCUGUAACAUGCAGCCGUACGUGUUGACACCUUGCAAAUGAAGCAGCUGGGAGGGCCCAGCAUAGACACUGCUUUUACCUCACUUUUGUGAGCUCUCCUAGAUGUGCUUUCCUGCCUCCAUACCUUCCUUCACGUCCUUCUGUUACUGUCCUACUCUACUGCAGUGCCCAUUCUCUGCUAGUCCAAAUUCCGUUCUUUCCAGUGAGACCUAGCUCCUGGCCUCUCUCUCUGCCAGGAGCAAUCCCUAAACUACCCCCACUUCUACCUUUGCAUUCCUUUAGUAAUAAGUUGCUACUACUAUCUUAAGAUUUUUAUCCAAAUUUGAAGCACAUUCUAUUAAUCUUGUUUAGAUCAUUUAGACUGUAAGCUCUUCAGAUAGUACGUUUUGACUUGCAGCUAGCACCGUGCUAGACGCUAUUUAUUGGGUACUUAAUAGAGGCUUGAGAAAUAAGAGAGUUGUGUCUUUUUAUCAGCUUACUGGAUUAUCUGUGAGACUUUUUAUAAAAUAGAUCAUUUGAAGUGACUUUGUUCUUACCGGUCUAGUGAAAUGGUAAAUUUUAGUCUUGGUUCCUGGGGACUGAAAUCAGAGGUAGGCCAGAGCUGGCUCCUGUUGGCUUACAAGAACCAGUGCCCAUCUCUUCCCACCUGUGAGUCCCGUGAGCUCACGUGGGCCGCUUGAGAUCUGCUGUGGUGGGAGGACUCGCCACAGAAAUCAAGUUGUGGUUAACGUGGCGCCACACAAAACUGAGUCUGUCUGUAAUUGAAAAAUUAGUAUUAUUUGUUGUAUUUACAGAAAUAAAUACAGAAGUUACAUUUUUAGAGUCAUAAAAAGCAUUCGAUAAAAUCCAGUACCCAUUUAUGAUUUUUUUUUUAGAAAAACCUUACAAACUAGGAAUAGAAGGAAGCUGCUUAAUAAAGGGCAUCUACCAAAAAAAAAAAAAAGGAGAAAGAAGCAGCAGCACUAUAGCAAGCAUCUUAAUUGUGAAUCAUGGAAAACUUAACUGAUAUCACUACUACUUUUCAGCUUUGGACAGGAAAUUCUAAGUUUAGGGAUUAAAAAGGAAACAAAAUUGUUAUUCUUAGAUGACGUAUAUGUAGCAAGUCCAAAUUAAUACAAACUUAGAAUUUGAAUUUAAUAAGAUUCCAGGAUGCAAAGUUAAUAAAGUCAUGAUGUUUAUCUGAGCAACAAUUAUGAAUUGAAAUUAUGAAAACAAAACAAUUAGAAUAGUAUCAGAUAGCAUCAGGUACCUCAAAAUAAGUCUGAAAGAUGUGCAGACCUUUACAUAAAAACCUAGGAUACAUUACAAACAAAGGAAAACCUGAGUAAGUAGAGAGAUGGGCCCUGUUCAUGAGUCAGAAUACUGUUAUCAAAGUAUACAUUCUAACGAAGCUGAUUCUAGACUUAAUUAUCUCAGAUCUGGAUCUGGGUGAUACAUAGAUCUCUCUGCAUCUAUGUAUGUAUUUUAUAUCCCCCAAAACAAAAAUAGAUGCUUAAUUUAUUCAUGAUUAAAAAGAAAAAAUAUUUUAUAGUUUGAAUCCAUUUAUAAUAGUAUAUUUCUCCUAGCUGUAGGUUUCUAUCCAUUUAUCCACACAGUCAUUCACCCGGAUAUCUGUGCAUAUGCAUGGAAACAGAACGAAUUAUUUUCACCUUAUGUUCAUUAUGUUAUUUGUGGGUAGUGAGAUUUUGGUUGAUUUUUUUUUUCUCUACCUCUUCUAUCUUCAGGUGUAUUUUCAGAUGUUACCUUUUCAGUGAGACAUUCCCUGGUCAUCCUAUUUCAAAUUGCAAUCCCUCCUGAUGCUCCCUAUACCCGUUCCCUGCUUCAUUUUCGUCUGUAGCACUUACCGUGUAACAUGCUGUAUAGUUUACUAUUUUUCCUAUUUGUAAUUUUUCCUACUAACAUGUAUGUUCUGUGAGACCUGGGAUUUUCUUGUCUUUCUUUUUCUCUCCGCUGUAUCUCAGUAUCUGGAACGGUGCCUGGUGCCUGAUGGGUGCUCAAUAAAUAUUUAUUGAGUGACUGAAUCUUUGUAUUUUUUUCUCAGUUUGAUUACUCUACAAUAAGCAUGUAUUAUUUUUGCCCCUCUCCCACAUUUUUACUUUAUAAAAGGAAGAAAAUAAGGAGUGAAAACAAAUACAGCAAGAAAUUAACAGUGGUUAAAUCUAGGCAGUAACAGUAUGGACGCUUGUUAAUUUUUACUUUGUUUUUAUCUUUAAAUAUUUCCAUUCCCCAAAAUAAGCAAAAGUGUUUAAAAGGGAAGAAUUACAGUUAGACUGAGAGCUGAUCACAGGCAUUUGUCUCCCCCUUUGGAGCCCUAUAAAAUAACAGAGCAGCUUUUAAGAAGAGAGUAAUAAAAAAAACAGGACAGCAUAGAUAAUUCAUCAAACGAUUGUACUUUGGAAGAGUGCUAUUCAUCCAAACUGCCCUCCUGCCACAGAAGCCCAAGUGGGGACAUCCUAUUUUUCUUCAUCAGAGGCAGCCCUCACGGGGGCACCUGACUAGCCGUGGUUUGUCAGGUGCUGCCAUCCAGAUCCAUCUAUCUGGGGCACCACAAAGCUGGCAGGACAUUAUCAACAGGGUCAUAGCAUCAAUAGCAUCCGACCCGAUGGGAAUCUGGUAGCUUGUGGUGAGACAGCAUUACGGUCUGUGGUCCCAUGGAAUGAAGUGCCCAGCGAGGACACGGCGCCGGGGAACUCCUUCGUAGCUGCUGCAGAACAAAAUGAAGGCAUGAGAACUUCAAGGACUGCUAGUUGAGGGCAGGGAGAGAAACCCAGAAAUCUUCUAUGACUAUAAACAUUUCUUGCGUUCACAGUGCCAAAACAGUCAAGUGAAGCUUAAUGUUUGGUUGUGUAAUUACCAAGUGAUAUCAGUUGAAUUCGGAUUCAACAAGUUUUGUGGGGGGUUUUGUUUUUCUAAUAUGAAGGUAAGGAAAGUUGGGAGGCAAAGAGCAGGGUGCAUAGUAUUGGGAUGUGUGUACUUAUGAAGAUUUGAAGGAUUCUGAGUCUCAGGAAAUGCCUGGAGCACUGUGGUGGAGUAUUUUGGUGAUCGCGGUCAAGGAAAGGAGAGCCUCCUUUCAGAAAUGAUCAAAUCUUAGAUGUGGGUUCAAUCAACAGAGACUCUGAAUUUAGUAUUUCGGUUUGAGCUGCUGGGAGUGGUUUUAAUUGUUUGGCUGGUCGAAGAAACAACUCAAAUCGAUCCACUCGGAACUCCAUUAAUAUAUAAUAUAAAAGGAAGAACCCAGUAUCUUUAGGAAAUAGAGAUGCUGGCGUGGAUUCACCUUGUGAGAACCUUCACAACAAGGCUUCGCUGUUCCUAGAGAAGAUCCAUAACCCAGUCCCUUAACCAAGCCUUUGACAGAUGAAAGGAAUGCAUUCCCAGUUAUCUUACUGGCUCUUUGAUUUCAUCAGAGCUGGAAAGAUCCUUUGGUUGCAGAAGCCAAGUAAGGUCAAUCAACCAUUCAAGCCAAGGGGACUUAGGCAAUACCUAGCGUGUCAAUUAGGAUGGUCUUCCCCACAGAGAUCAGAAACAGUAAUCAGUGACCCUGGGGUCCUUGGCGACCAAAGUAAGUGAGAUGCUACUUCAUUAGUAUAACCAAAAAACUCCCAAGUCUGGCCUCCAAGACCCUGACCAGCAUGGCUUAAAGCACUUUUUUCUCUCUUGAUUUCUGUGGAUGAGGAGCCCACGGGGUCUCGCUGGGAGCCGUGUGCACAGCUGCGGCUGUAGCCGCGGCUGGAAUAGCCGAGCGCUGAAACAUCUGGGGGCCGCAGGACCACCCGUGCAGUCUUGGGGCCUCUCCAAGCAGUGUCUGCGUGGGCUCGUGGGGGCUUCCACGCAGCAUGGCAGCCUCCAGGCAGUCAGGACAAAGCCUUCAGGAUGCAAGCAUUCCCAAGAGGCAGAAGCUACAUUCCCUUCGGUAGUCUCAGAAGUCACAGUGUGUCACCUCCGCCACGCUCUUAGCGGUCGAAACAGCCCCCAAGGCCGUCCAGUUUCAAGGAGGAGGGGAUAUAGAUCCCACCUGUCACUGGGAGACAAGGUAACAUUGUGAAAAAGGCAUUUGAGUUGAAAGAUAUCGCGGCCAUUUUUCAAAAAAGGAUCUACAAGAACCAAACCUGAAAAACGAAGUGAUGACCCGUGGUGGGGUUGAGGCUUUGAGGGGCAGCAACUGCUGAUUUGUAUCACUGGCCCGCUCCACUGUUUGCUUUUAUAACCGCAGGCAGUUACUCUCUUCAUUAAAUAAUGAAAUGAAAAGACAUCCAAAUCACCAAAAGACAAAGCAAUUGCAUGAUUAGAAAAAUUAUCAGAUACUCUCUAAAUCAUGUAAGAUAAUAUGCAUGAGGAAAAAAAGUAGGAGUAUGACAGAAAUCUAGUUUCACUUAGAAUUAUAUGUACUUGGCUUCGCCUCUAACGUGCCUGCCCUCAAGAAACAAAGUUUAGUUAAAGGGAGAAACAAAUGAAUCAGCAGUUAGAGCGCAAUGCUUUGAGUUCAAUGACAGAUAUGCUUGAGAGACCAUGCAACUACAUGCAUCAAAAGGAGACUAGAAGAAGCAGAGAACUGUAUUUGCCAUCCUUGAGGAGUGAAUAUUCAACUUUUUAUUCUGAAACUCAUAAUGGGAAAAAUUAACAUUCACUCCUCAUUCUUAGGAGAAACAGUAAUUUAUACCAAGUUGAAAGAAAGCUAGUGCUUUUUGUCUUUCCCCUUCUGGCUCCCUCUUCCUCUUUCCCCCUUCCUCCCUCCCUCCCUCUCUCUCUCUCUGCUGUAGAGGGAACAGCAACAUUUAAACUAUCCUGUGGCAACCCCAGUGAAGUAAUUGACCCAAGCAAAUAUCAAGGGAUGCUAAAACUAUCACAUGAAACAGAAUAUUUACAUGGGAUUUGUCUCCUAUGUUUCCUGAAUGACAAACCGCUCAAAAUCAAUGUCGACUUAAAAUACCAUUUAUUUUUUCUCAUGACUCUGCAAAUUAGGCAGAGCUCCAUGGAGAGGGCUUGCCUCUGCUCCACGUGGUGUUGGCUGGGGUGGCUUGACCAGGGCUGAAGAAUUCAAGAUGACUUCACUCCCCUCUCUAGUGCCUCCAGCUGGCCUGGCUGGACCUCUCUCCUUGUGGUCUCUUACCGUUUAGUAGUCCAGCCUGAGUUUCUUUACGUGGCAGCUUGAACCCAAGAGGACCAAAAAAGAAGCUUCAAGGCCUCUUAAGGCCUAGGCCCAGAAAUAAGGAUAUACCGCUUACACACAUUAUAAUUAGUUAAACUGAGUUAUAAGGCCAGUCCAGAUUCAAGGGAUGAAAAGAUUUCUACCUUUUGAUGGGAGGUGCAGCACAUGCUAACAGAAAUGGGAGGAAUUACUGGUGACAAUCUGCCAACAUUUCAUGGUGUCACUCCCAGAUGACCUGCUGAUUACGCAGGGGAGUGUGUGCCCUUACGAUGGAGAGAGACGGUUGUCAGCACCUUGCCCAAGAAGUCCAAUUGACCUGAGCAUCACUUACAGCGGACAAACUGACAUGUGCUGCUGGAUAGGGUGCUGUACAAAAUACGCUUAUGAAGAGUUCCUACGGAACGUGUGAUCUGAAUCCAGUCAAGCCGUAGACCUAGCUGCUGGGUCACGGGAAAUUCAAGGGAGAGAGAAACAACAUCAGGAAGAACCAGUCAGCCAAAAGAGAAUAUAGGGCAUCUACUAGACAACUGGCCUGGUCUCUAGAUAGUCUCUAAAUAGAUACUAUUAAGCAAAAUAAAAGGUUGAGGGACUCUCUUAGAUUAAAAGAAAUUGAAGACAUAUAACCCAAUAACCUAAUGGAAUAUGUGAAGCUUGACUGGAACCUGGUUCGGCAGCGGCGGGCAGGUGGGGGGAGCAGCUAUAAACACCAGUUAGGAGGUAAUUGAAAAAAUACAAAUUUGUAAAAAAAAUACAUGACAUAAAAUUUACCAUUUUUUCUAUUUUUAAGUGUUCAAUUCAGUGGCAUUCAGUGCAUUCACACUGUUGUGCAACCAUCACCACCACCCAUUUCCAGAAUUUUCAUCAACCUGAACAGAAUCUCUCUAUUAGGGGCGCCUGGGUGGCACAGCGGUUAAGCGUCUGCCUUCCGCUCAGGGCGUGAUUCCGGCGUUAUGGGAUCGAGCCCCACAUCAGGCUCCUCCGCUGUGAGCCUGCUUCUUCCUCUCCCACUCCCCCUGCUUGUGUUCCCUCUCUCGCUGGCUGUCUCUAUCUCUGUCAAAUAAAUAAAUAAAAUCUUAAAAAAAAAAAAAAGAAACUUUCUAUUAAAUAAUAGCUUCCCAUCCCACUCCGCCAGUCCCUUUCUUCCUCUAUGAAUUUGCCUACUUUAACUACCUCAUAUAAAUGGACUCAUGCACUAUGUGUCCUUUUGUAUGUGGCUUAUUUCCCUUGGCACAGUAUCUUCCAGGUCCAUCCGUGCUGUGGCAUGUUAUCAGAACUUCAUUUGUUCAAGCUGAAUAAUAUUCCGUUGUAGGAGUCGUUUCAUUUUCCUGAACGGUUUGCCACAGAAAGGAAAUAAAAAAGGAAACUGGACAUUCGACACAGUUUGAAGAGCACUGCUGGAUGCACUGAUCUCAGCUCAGAGUGAAAAGGGCAGGGCUGCCUGAGGGGUGCCAGGCAGCCUGCAUUACAUGAAGUGCUUGGGACCCGGAUGUAGCAAGUGCUGUGGUAGCAGGAGACAAUGUGAUCCCGUCGUAAGUCAGGAGUGUUGUUUUCCCUCUUCAUUUCUUCAGGUCUGUCAUUAGGAAAGUUGGUAUUGUUUUGUUUGCCUCUAUAAUUACACCUCAUUUGGCCCCAUAUCCCUCUAUUUCCUUUGAUAAUGUCUUAACCCUUUACCAUAAACAACAAUAAAACAUACAUACUUCCUCUUCCUUCCCAACUCACCUGAUUUGAGACAAUAUUUCUUCAUGUUUACCUUCAUGGUAUUGAAUGUUUAUACUUCAAUUACUUGAUUCGGCAGCUUGAAACGGUAUCUGGAUUUCAGUUAUAAAUGACACCAUUCAUAAAGUCACUCUACCUUCUACAUCCUCCUUCCCCUCCUAAAAUGUGUUUCUUUUAUUAUUUUUCCAUCGUUAAGGUAUAUACCAAUUACACAGCAUUCUGUUCCCUAGCCCCUCUGUUUGUUUUAGUCUUUGUUCUGGUAAAUAUAUUCACUUCUGCAAUUCUCAAAAGGCAGUACCAUGUUUUUCCCGUCAUCUUUCAGCUAUUUGUGUCCCCCAAAAUUCAUAUGUGAAAUCCCAGUGCCCAACAGGAUGGCACAUGGAAGUGGACCUUUGAGAGGUGAUUUUGGUCUCAUGAAUGGGCUUAGUGCUCUUUUAAAAGAGACCCCAAAGAGCUCCCUUCCCCCUUCUGCCCUGUGAGGACACAGUGAAAAAACGCUGUGGGCCCUUACCAAACAGCACAUCUGCCAGUGCCUUGAUUUUGGACUUCCCAGCCUCCAGAACUGCGGGCAAUAAAUUGUUGAUAAGCCACUGAGUGUGGUAUUGUUUUAUAGCAGCCCAAAUGGACUAAGAGCCUUAAUACUUUCCUCAAGAAACACUCAUGGGAAAAACAUUUCCUUAUUUAUUGCAUAUUCAAUGGGUGAAACACAGAUUAGCUGCGUACAAAACCUUGGCUCAACAUUCUUUCCUUGGGGAUCUUAUAGAUGUAUCUUUGUUCUCUUGUGUUGAAUGUCACCACGGAGAAAUCUGCAACUAGCCUGAUCUCUUCUAUAAAUAAGUGACCUGAAUUUUUUUGCCUAACUGACCAAAGUUGUCAUUCUUUUAAAAUCCAGUGUUUUUUCUAAUGGUUUUAUAGUUCUAUGUCCAUGAUUCCUUCUGCAUUAGUCAGGGCUCUCCAGAAACAGAACCAAUAGAAGACUGAUUGGUUGACUGAUUGAUUAUAAGGAAUUGGUUGACAUGAUUGUGGAGGCUGUCAAGUUCCAAGAUCUACAGGUGAAUUGGGAAGCUGCAGACCUGGGAAGAGCCAAGAUUUCAACUCAAGUCCAAAGGCAAGAAAAAAAGCUGAUGUUGCAGUUCAAAGGUCAGCAGGCAGGAAUAAUUCUCUGCGGCUUGGUGGAGGGUCAGCCUUGGGUCCUGUGUAGGCUGGCAACAGACUGGAUGGGACCCACCCGCACUGGGAAGGCCAAGCUGCUUUAUCCAGUCUACUGAUUUAAAUGUUUAUUUCACUAUACACACUCUUGCAGAAAAACCUGGAAUAGCCUUUGAUCAAAUACCUGGACACUCCGUGGUCUAGUCACAUUGACAUAUAAAAUUAACUAUCACACCAUCUGAAUUAAUUUUUGUGGAAGGUGGAAUGUCCAGGUUGAGGUUCAUUUUUUUGUCUAUAGGUGCACAAUUGUCCCAGCUCCAUUUAUUAAAAAGGCUACCUUUCCUUCCAUUAAAUUGCUUUUGCACCUUU